UGAGUGCGAGCUGCUACGGCAGCGAAGUUGGUGAUGUCAUGCUUCCAAGAAAAGCCCUAUACCCGUUAAGGCAUCAUGGCCUGUACCCGAAACCGACACAGGUGGGGUGGUAGAGAAUACCGAGGGGCGCGAGGUAACUCUCUCUAAGGAACUCGGCAAAAUGGCCCCGUAACUUCGGGAGAAGGGGUGCCACCGCAAGGUGGUCGCAGUGAAGAGGCCCAGGCGACUGUUUACCAAAAACACAGGUCUCCGCUAAGUCGCAAGACGAUGUAUGGGGGCUGACGCCUGCCCAGUGCCGGAAGGUUAAGGAAGCUGGUCAGCGCAAGCGAAGCUAGCGACUGAAGCCCCGGUGAACGGCGGCCGUAACUAUAACGGUCCUAAGGUAGCGAAAUUCCUUGUCGGGUAAGUUCCGACCCGCACGAAAGGCGUAACGAUCUGGGCGCUGUCUCGGAGAGAGGCUCGGCGAAAUAGAAUUGUCUGUGAAGAUGCAGACUACGUGCACCCGGACAGAAAGACCCUAUGAAGCUUUACUGUAGCUCGGUAUUGUGCCCGGGCUCGCAAUGCGCAGGAUAGGUGGGAGGCUUUGAUCAUCGGCUUGCGGGUCGAUGUGAGCCAACGGUGAGAUACCACUCUUUGCGAGCUAGGGUUCUAACGGCCACCCGUCAUCCGGGGGCCGGACAGUACCUGGUGGGCAGUUUGACUGGGGCGGUCGCCUCCUAAAAGGUAACGGAGGCGCGCAAAGGUUUGCUCAGGCUGGUUGGAAAUCAGCCGACGAGUGUAAAAGCAGAAGCAAGCUUGACUGUGAGACCAACAAGUCGAACAGGGAGGAAACUCGGCUUUAGUGAUCCGACGGUUCUGAGUGGAAGGGCCGUCGCUCAACGGAUAAAAGUUACUCUAGGAUAACAGGCUGAUCUCCCCCAAGAGUUCACAUCGACGGGGAGGUUUGGCACCUCGAUGUCGGCUCAUCGCAACCUGGGGCUGAAGUCGGUCCCAAGGGUUGGGCUGUUCGCCCAUUAAAGCGGUACGCGAGCUGGGUUCAGAACGUCGUGAGACAGUUCGGUCCAUAUCCGGUGCACGCGCAGGAAUAUUGAGAGGAUUUCUCCCUAGUACGAGAGGACCGGGAGGAACGCACCUCUGGUGUACCAGUUAUCGUGCCAACGGUAAACGCUGGGUAGCCAUGUGCGGAGUGGAUAACCGCUGAAAGCAUCUAAGUGGGAAGCCCACCUCAAGAUGAGUAUUCCCAUGGCGUAAGCCAGUAAGGUCACGGGAAGAACACCCGUUGAUAGGCUCUAUGUGGAAGCGCAGUAAUGCGUGAAGCAGAGGAGUACUAAUAGACCGAGGGCUUGACC
rnacentral:rRNA from 1 species